CUUUCACUCUGGCGGUAGGCCUAACACAUGCCAGUCGAACGGCAGCACAGGAGAGCUUGCUCUCUGGGUGGCGAGUGGCGGACGGGUGAGGAAUACAUCGGAAUCUGCCCAGUCGUGGGGGAUAACGUAGGGAAACUUACGCUAAUACCGCAUACGACCUUCGGGUGAAAGAGGGGGAUCGCAAGACCUCUCGCGAUUGGAUGAGCCGAUGUCGGAUUAGCUAGUUGGCGGGGUAAUGGCCCACCAAGGCGACGAUCCGUAGCUGGUCUGAGAGGAUGAUCAGCCACACUGGAACUGAGACACGGUCCAGACUCCUACGGGAGGCAGCAGUGGGGAAUAUUGGACAAUGGGCGCAAGCCUGAUCCAGCCAUACCGCGUGGGUGAAGAAGGCCUUCGGGUUGUAAAGCCCUUUUGUUGGGAAAGAAAUCUUUCAGGCUAAUACCCUGGGAGGAUGACGGUACCCAAAGAAUAAGCACCGGCUAACUUCGUG
rnacentral:rRNA from 1 species